rnacentral:rRNA from 1 species
CCAACGGGCAUUGCCUUAGUAGCGAGCGAGUGAGCGGCAAAGCUCAAAUUUGAAAUCUGGCGCCUUCGGUGUCCGAGUUGUAAUUUGAAGAUUGUAACCUUGGGGUUGGCUCUUGUCUAUGUUUCUUGGAACAGGACGUCACAGAGGGUGAGAAUCCCGUGCGAUGAGAUGCCCAAUUCUAUGUAAGGUGCUUUCGAAGAGUCGAGUUGUUUGGGAAUGCAGCUCUAAGUGGGUGGUAAAUUCCAUCUAAAGCUAAAUAUUGGCGAGAGACCGAUAGCGAACAAGUACAGUGAUGGAAAGAUGAAAAGAACUUUGAAAAGAGAGUGAAAAAGUACGUGAAAUUGUUGAAAGGGAAGGGUUUGAGAUCAGACUCGAUAUUUUGUGAGCCUUGCCUUCGUGGCGGGGUGACCCGCAGCUUAUCGGGCCAGCAUCGGUUUGGGCGGUAGGAUAAUGGCGUAGGAAUGUGACUUUACUUCGGUGAAGUGUUAUAGCCUGCGUUGAUGCUGCCUGCCUAGACCGAGGACUGCGAUUUUAUCAAGGAUGCUGGCAUAAUGAUCCCAAACCGCCCGUCUUGAAACAACGGGAACCAA